rnacentral:rRNA from 1 species
UACGAAGGGAGCUAGCGUUGUUCGGAAUCACUGGGCGUAAAGCGCACGUAGGCGGAUGUGUCAGUCAGGGGUGAAAUCCCGGAGCUCAACUUCGGAACUGCCUUUGAUACAGCACGUCUUGAGUCCGAUAGAGGUGGGUGGAAUUCCCAGUGUAGCGGUGAAAUGCGUAGAUAUUGGGAGGAACACCAGUGGCGAAGGCGGCUCGCUGGACCGGUUCUGACGCUGAGGCGCGAAAGCGUGGGGAGCAAACGGG